GCAUGAAAUAGUUGUUUUUCUUUUCAACAGGAAGUCAAGUUAGAAACCAUUGCACAGAGUUUAGAAGUACUUCCUGUCUGGAUUGCGAUGAGGGAACAUUCAUGGAUCGUCCUACAGGUUCUGGUUUAAAGAUGAAAACAGCAUGUACGACUACCUCAGAUACAGUUUGUGAACCACUGGAGGGAUUCUACUGUCUGUUCUCUUCAGGAAACAGCUGUGUGGAAGCACAGAAACACAGCAGCUGUCAACCAGGACAAUAUAUCAGCCAAAAAGGAACAGCAUUAAGGGACACUGAGUGCUCUGACUGCAGAGAUGGAACAUUUUCUGAUGGGACAUUAUUGACAUCGUGUCAGCCACACACACAAUGUCAAUCAUUGGAUCUUCAGCUGAGAAAACAAGGAACUGCUUCAACAGAUGCUGAAUGUGGAGAAAAAGGUUCAGGAGAUCGGCAUCAUUGGGUGCUUAUGACCUGUUUAGUGG